AUUGAACGCUGGCGGCAUGCCUUACACAUGCAAGUCGAACGGUAACAGGUCUUCGGAUGCUGACGAGUGGCGAACGGGUGAGUAAUACAUCGGAACGUGCCUAGUAGUGGGAGAUAACUACUCGAAAGAGUGGCUAAUACCGCAUGAGAUCUACGGAUGAAACCAGGGGAUCGCAAGACCUUGUGCUACUAGAGCGGCCGAUGGCAGAUUAGGUAGUUGGUGGGAUAAAAGCUUACCAAGCCGACGAUCUGUAGCUGGUCUGAGAGGACGAUCAGCCACACUGGGACUGAGACACGGCCCAGACUCCUACGGGAGGCAGCAGUGGGGAAUUUUGGACAAUGGGCGAAAGCCUGAUCCAGCAAUGCCGCGUGCAGGAUGAAGGCCUUCGGGUUGUAAACCGCUUUUGUACGGAACGAAAAGCCCCGGGUUAAUACCCUGGGGUCAUGACGGUACCGUAAGAAUAAGCACCGGCUAACUACGUGCCAGCAGCCGCCGCAG
rnacentral:rRNA from 1 species